GGGUGGGUUUCAGCUCCCACUUGUUUUUUUGGUCAGGUUCCCCAAGAAACAGACUCGGGAUUUGCAUGCAGGAGUCUUAUUGGGGAACGCUUUCAGGAACUACCACCCCGUAUGGGAGCGAGAGAAGCAGGACUGUGCAGAAGGAGAAGUUGAACAACUCCUGGAAAGCUCUGAAGCUGGGAUCAUCCUUCCAGAAUGUCUUGGAUUGAGACAAGGGCCUUAUCUUGUACAAGAUUCAUGUGUUGGUGAGCUCAUUUCCACCAGAACUCAGCCCAGGCUGCUGUGGGAUGGAAUCACCUGCACCCGGAUGUUCUUUCUGGGCUGGUACAUACAGGUUCUAUGGGUCUGGAAUUCAGAUGGGGUACAGCAGGGAAGCUUUGUCUCUGCUCCACAGCAUAUGGGCCUCAGCUGGAAGAUUCGAAGGCUGAAGUACUUUAAUCAGCAUUUAAUGACCCAGUCGAAAAUUCAUUGUUUGGACCCAAGCACUGGUGGGAAAGGCAGGAGGGGAGGCCUGCCUUCCUUCCUCCCUCCCGAGCCCUACAGCAGGCCAUGGAGUGGUGAGCGAGUUCGUACAGUGCCAACCACAUUCCCAGAAACUUCCAGCAGAGGUUAAUCCUGCUCCUCUCAGGUGGGCUUGGCCCAUUCUCUAGACUUUGGAAGGUAAUGUUCUAUAGAGGCCUGUUCUGAAGCUUUACCAGGUCAAACCGGAGAAGAACCCAACAAGUAACUCAUCCCAGCCUAACUAUUCUUCAAGGGCAAUCAACCUACAGCAUCCAAGCACAGAGAAAUCAAAUCCAUGGAGAAUCUUCAAAUUAGGCUCAGAAUCCAUUUGGGUCAAUGAAUUUACUGUUAUUAAGA
ensembl:lncRNA ZNF503-AS1 ZNF503 antisense RNA 1